UUUUUUUAGGAAAUCAAAUGUCAUAUACUCAUGUAUUACCAUAUUUCUUUUUACAAGAAAAUACAUUAACCGAAGGUCAUUAUUUCUUGCAGUCCUGCCAUUACACAAACCAGUUCAAUUACAAAGAACUUCUAAUUACUUACAUAUAUAUACACACACAUUAUCUUACACUUUAUAAUAUUUGUACAAAAAAAUUGACUAAUAACCAUUUUUGGUAAAUGGUUUACAAGAAUCUACAUGUAGUAAAGUAUGAUAGGUACAUGGCACACAGUCCAAGUUUUGAAUUGUGGAGUUGAACAUAGUGAGAGAGUGGUACCAUGGCUUCAUUACUAAACCUAAUAGGAAAAUAAAAGGUUACCAUAUAGUUCACACUACACAUUAAGAUUGUCAAUAAUAGAGAUACAUAUGUGUGGUUACCUUUCAAUUAGUUGUUACAGUCAUCGAUCUUUAAAAAAAUGAUGUCAUAAUGCACACGAAAAACUAUGAGUACGCCUACAAUGUUGAUUGAGUGGUGGUUUUAGUUACAAAACAGUAACUUACUAACCUAUACUCAUAUUAGUCUCACGAAAGUCUAUCUACACACCCAAAAGAUACACUAUAACUAUUUCAAUUUAAAUGAUACCAAACAUGCAAAUAAUGAAAACAACAUAUAACAAUACAUAUUGUCUCUCAUAAGUUCGAGAUCCAAAGGUUGGAGUUGAGACGAUAGUGAAGUACAAGCGAAGACAUUUAAUUCAACCUUUUUCUCAACCUUCUUCUUCCUUUUGAACCCUCUAAUAGGUCCCAUUUGAAACUCGAAAAAGAAGCUGACAGAUGGCAAAAAAAAAAAAAAAAAAAAAAAAAAACUAACAUGACGAAAAGAUGCCACUGACUGUCGAACGAAAUAAAAAACCUAACUUGAGAAAUGGUCGACGGCGAGCAAGGAUUGCCGAUGAUAGAUGAAUUUUGAAAAUGGUCGGCAAUGUUUAGAGAGGUUGAGGAUGGAUGUUGGAAUCGUGAUGGUCGGCGGUGUCUAGAGACGUUGAGAAAGGGUUUUCAUGAGUUUUUCCAAUUUGGGGAAAGUUGAAACGUCAUUUAUUAAAUUUUAUUUUGAUAAAUUUUAAUAAAUUAUUUAAUGUUUUUACCUUUUAUGACAACAAAUAACCGUCAUAGAAAAAUGGAAUCCUCAAACAGUGUUUUUCCCCAAAAUUAAGAACGCAAAAUUUGACAUUUUAUGAUAUUUUUUGUCUUCUCUAGCUCCGUUCAAUUUGGGUUGUAGUGAGAUGUUAGUAGGUCCUUUUUCUUGUAGUGAUAGAACUCACACACCCCAAAAGCUCAAAAUUUUCAACUCCACAACUUCAAACAACUCAUGCAAAAUAUCUAACAAUCACAAAUAUAAAAUUAAUAUACCAUCGAACCAUAUAAUUGAAAAACACAAAUAACAUAUAUUUUCAUUAAUCAAAUGUAAAAAAAUGUUAUUACAAAGAAAUAUGUAAGGAGCUUUCGAGGUAAGGGUCAUUAUUGAUCAAACGAUGUAAAAAUUUGAUACAAUUACACAAAAAGAAUUAUCAAUACAAGAGGCAUGCAAUAGUACAAGAAAAGGAAUAUGAAUCAAACAAUUACGAUUGGGUAUAAGAAAAUACCACAACCUUAAGCUAAUAAAAAAAUUAGUACAAAAAAAAUAGUAGAGUAGUGGAAGAAAGGGAUCCAACCCACAAAGACUUCAUGAAUAAAUUUACACAAUUCAAGAUACAAAAUUAAAAAGGAAAAAAAAUUCAAGAAUCAAAUAAAUUCAUGAAACAAGCGGGUGUUUUUUUUUUUUGGUAAUCAAACAAGAAAGUAAAGAAAAAGCAAUAAAAUAUUUUUGGAAGAAUUUUUAGAUUAAGACUUGCACAAUACAAAGAUGUUAGUUCUCUCUAAUGGUAAAAGAUGAGAAUCAAGUGUUCUUGCAAUUUUCUUAUCAUUGAACAAUAAAUGCAUUGUUAAUUAAUUUAGCACUCAACCAAUUGGUUCAACACCCAAUUGUCCUACAACAAUGAAUCAUAAAAUGCAUCAAAAUUCAUUGUAACGUUAAUGAAAAUACUUUUAUCUCAAUGGUUUCCACAUGCUCAAUUAAAUUGCAUACAGAUCAAACGUAUCAUUUAUGAAAAACCUAAGAUUUAAAAAAUUAGGAAUUCAAUUGGUGAACCCUCAAUAUCAAAUUCUAAAACCCCCAAAUCAAAUUGACAACAAUCUAGAUGAAAAGACUAGAAUUGGAUUACCUUUUGAUUGAUGAUCAGAUUGUGUGUGUUGUCUUGGAUAUGGAUGUUUGCCAUAUUUUACUUGGAAGACCAUGACAAUACGAUAUUCAAGUUGUUCAUAAGGGGAGAGAGAACACCUAUGAGUUCCAAUGGAUGAACAAGAAGAUUGCGUUGCUGCACCUAAGCAAAAAGAAUGAGGAAGGAGUCAAUCAAAAGAAUGCUAAAAGUCAUCUUUUCGUCACUGUAAGUGGAAAGAAAUUUCUAGAAACCAAAGAAUCUGAUAUUUUGGGACUUGUUAUUUUAGGCCCUCAUACUACAGAAAUUUCCAGCUUGAUUCCACCAAAGGUGCAAGACCCAUUGAGCCAAUUUCAACCUAUAAUGGAGGAGCCCUAUGAAUUGCCUCCUCUACGAGACAUCCAACACAUAAUUGAUUUGAUACUCGACUCAUCUCUUCCCAACCUUCCUCAAUAUUACAGAAUGAGUCAAUUCUUACACUAGUACAUUGAAGAUUUGCUGACAAAAGGGCAUAUUCACCCAAUCAUUAGCCCUUGUGCCGUACCAGCUCAGCUCUAUUAACUCCAAAGAAGGAUGGCAGCUGGAGGAUGUGUGUAGACAGUCAAGCCAUCAACAAAAUCACGGUCAAGUAUCGUUUUCCUAUUCCAAGAAUUAAUGAUCUCCUUGAUCAACUUGGGGGAGCUCUUGUUUUUUCAAAGGUAGACCUAAGAAGCGGGUAUCAUCAAAUUAGAAUAAGGCCGGGAGAUGAGUGGAAGACGGCCUUCAAGACUAAUGAGGGGUUAUUCAAAUGGUUAGUGAUGCCUUUUGGCUUAUCAAAUGCCCCAAGUGCCUUUAUGCGGUUGAUGCACCAAUUGCUACAUUUAUUCUUAAACAAAUUCGUAGUAGUCUACUUUGAUGAUAUCUUAAUCUAUAGCAAGAAUGAAAAAGAUCAUAUGCAGCACCUGAAGCUAGUUUUUGAAGGCUUUCAAAAGAGUAAGUUGUUCAUUAAUUUAAAGAAAUGUAUUUUCUGCACGGAAGAAAUAUCUUUCCUAGGCUUUAUUAUAUCUGAAAAUCAAGUGAAGAUGGAUGAAAGCAAGGUGGAAGCUGUAACUAAAUGGUCGAUUCCUAAACCAGUAAAGGAGAUUCGAGCUUUUAUGGGGUUAACAUCUUUUUACAGGAAGUUUAUUAAGAACUUUAGUUAUAUAACAGCUCCUAUGACUAAUUGUUUGAAGAAGGGAGCCUUUUAUUGGGGAGAAAAACAACAACACAGUUUUAACUCCCUCAAAAGAAAGCUUGCCAGCCAACCAGUCCUAAAAUUAUCGAUAGAAUUCUUUAGUGAAAAGUUGAGUCCUUCUAGGCAAAAUUGGAGCACAUAUGAGCAGGAACUUUAUGCACUUGUUAGGGCCUUAAAACAGUGGGAGCACUACUUAUUAUCUAAGGAGUUUGUGCUGCUCACUGAUAAUUUCUCCUUGAAGUAUCUCCAAGCACAAAAAAACAUUAACAAGAUGCAUGCUAGAUGGGUAUCUUAUAUCGAAUGAUUUGAUUUCUUAAUCAAGCAUCAAGCAGGCAAAGAAAAUAGAGUUGCAGAUGCCUUAAGCAGAAAAGCGACUCUCCUCAUUGUGCUCUCAGUUGAAAUUACAACCUUUAACUAUCUUCCAAUGCUAUAUGAGACUGAUGAAGACUUUGGUGAGAUUUGGAGUCAUUGUACUGCUCAUAUCCAUGAUCGAGAUUAUCUAUGGUGGAAGGUUUUCUCUUUAAAGGAGACCAACUAUGCAUUCCACAUACUUCCUUAAGGGAAGACCUAAUAAAAGAAGCUUAUUUGAAAGGCCUAGCUGGACACUUUGGCCAAGAAAAGACUGGGCUAAAGUUUUUGUUAGAAAAUAGAGUGAUACAACCUUAGUAUCAGAAAUUGGUAGCUAAGAUGUUGGGUUAUUCGUUCGAAGUUAUAUACAAGUUGGGGCUUGAAAAUAAAACAGUCGAUUCUUUAUCAUGAAUGCCUCCUACCGUUCAUCUAUGUAGUUUAACAGCCCCAACAUUAGUAGAUAUAUUGGUGUUCAAGGAAGAAGUGGAAGGAGAUGAAAAGUUGAGCAAGAUUAUGACUGAAUUGCAAACGGAGGAAAAAGACAAAGAAAGUAAAUUUUCUAUUCAACAAGGGAUGCUAAGAUACAAGGACAUGUUAGUAUUGUCGAAGACUUCAACCUUGAUUCCAACAAUAUUACACACCUAUCACAACUCUGUGUUAGGAGGGCAUUUUGGUCUUUUACAUGCAUAUAAGAGGUUAACUGGUGAGCUGUACUGGAAAGGAAUGAAAUAAGAUAUUAAGAAAUACUGUGAUGAGUGUAUGACAUGUUAGAAAAAACAAGUCCUUGGCACCACUACAAAUUCCAAAUAGUAUUUCAAGUGAUAUAUCAAUUGAUUUUAUUGAAGGUCUAUCAAGAUCGAAUGGGUUUGAAGUCAUAUUGGUGGUAGUGGAUAGGUUCAGUAAAUAUGGACACUUCUUAUCCCUGAAGCACCCUUUCAUGGAAAAGACAGUGGCAGAGUUGUUUGUGAAAGAGAUCCUGCAGCUACAUGGUUAUCCCAAGUCAAUAGUGUCCGAACAGAGACUAGAUAUUCUUGAGCAAUUUCUGGAACCAGAUGUUUAAGAUGUCUGGUACUAAAUUGAAUCGAAGUACAGCUUACCACCCACAAACAGAGGGCCAAACUAAAGUGGUCAACAGGGGAGUUGAAACCUAUUUAAGGGGUUUCUAUGGUGAACGGCCGAAAGAAUAGACAAGAUGGUUACACUGGGAUGAGUAUUGGUAUAAUACUACAUUCCAGAGAUCCCUAGGAAUCACUUCUUUCUAUGUAGUGUACGGUUAAAUGCCUCCUUUGUAGGUGUAUUAUGGUGAUCGCUAUACUCCUAACUCAACUCUAGAUGAGCAGCUCUAGGCAAGAGAUGACGCUUUGGAAGUAUUAAAGAAGCAUCUUCGAAUUGCCUAAGAUAAAAUGAAAAAGAAUGUAGACUUGAAGCAUCGAGAUGUAGAGUAUGCAGUUGGAGAUAUGGUGUUUUUGAAGAUUAGGCCUUGUAGACAUAUCUCCUUCCG
rnacentral:lncRNA from 1 species